rnacentral:rRNA from 1 species
GAUGAACGCUAGCGGCAGGCCUAAUACAUGCAAGUCGAGGGGUAGAGGAGAGCUUGCUUUCCUUGAGACCGGCGCACGGGUGCGUAACGCGUAUGCAACCUACCUUUAUCUGGGGGAUAGCCCGGAGAAAUCCGGAUUAACACCGCAUAAAAUCACAGUACGGCAUCGUACAAUGAUCAAAUAUUUAAAGGAUAGAGAUGGGCAUGCGUGUCAUUAGUUAGUUGGCGGGGUAACGGCCCACCAAGACCACGAUGACUAGGGGAUCUGAGAGGAUGACCCCACACACUGGUACUGAGACACGGACCAGACUCCUACGGGAGGCAGCAGUAAGGAAUAUUGGUCAAUGGAGGCAACUCUGAACCAGCCAUGCCGCGUGCAGGAAGACGGCCCUCUGGGUUGUAAACUGCUUUUAUUCGGGAAUAAACCUGCUUACGUGUAAGUAGCUGAAUGUACCGAAGGAAUAAGGAUCGGCUAACUCCGUGCCAGCCGCCGCAGUAAUAC